UACGUAGGGGGCAAGCGUUGUCCGGAUUUAUUGGGCGUAAAGAGCGUGUAGGCGGCCAAGCAGGUCAGCUGUGAAAACUCGAGGCUCAACCUCGAGACGUCGGUUGAAACCGCUUGGCUAGAGUCCGGAAGAGGAGAGUGGAAUUCCCGGUGUAGCGGUGAAAUGCGCAGAUAUCAGGAGGAACACCGGUGGCGAAGGCGGGUCUCUGGGCCGAUAUUGACGCUGAGGAGCGAAAGCGUGGGGAGCGAACAGG
rnacentral:rRNA from 1 species